GUAUGUGAGGGCAAUCUGGAUGCAAUAUCUGUCACCCCAUGGAUCUCCAGGGUUGAUUCAGCUGAUGUGGCUGGCUAGGUGGGUGUCCCCUUCCUCCCUCACUGCUCCAUGUGCGUCCCUCCCAAAGCUGCCCAUGCUCAGUUGAAGAGGACAACCAUCCCCACAGAGAAGUACCAUCUCCUCAGUCAAGGGUGUACAAGUGGCUGUGUUCCCCUGCUAAAAUCUCCAAACAAGCUCUCAAGAAUGGAAAAGAAAAGCACAACGAUAAUUGGGGAACAGAGACAGUUAAGCUAUCCCUUAAUAAACUCUUCAUCCCCAUCUUU
ensembl:misc_RNA 7SK 7SK RNA